CUCAGCUCUUUGUAGGUUUAUUUCUAGAGCAAACCGUUUCUUUACAUCGUUGUAAAUCUAUCACAGGUGGAAGUUAACAAAAAAAAAACCUUCUGUACAGUUUAUCAUGAGAGAACAAAUAAAAUAAAAUAUAUAAAUACAGGUUCCAAUAUUACAAGACCAGCUGAGACAAAAAGAAAGACUGUCGAACAUGCAUAGUGAAGAGUUUGUAGGGAUACCGUCUUUUCUGUUUCCAGGACCCAUAAAGUGAUGAGACGUCAGCGAGCAGCGGUGAGCGGACUGAAAUGUGUCGUUUAAAGCCCAAGUGUGAAGGUGAGGUGAGACAGACAGGUGAGGCUGGGUGCAGGUACGACAGGACCACAUGUCAAUCAAAUGAUAUCCAGUACCGUCACAUUAAUAACACAUGAGAAGUCUGUACAUUCAGAAUUAAAUAAACUCAGACCCAGAGUCCUGAAGACGCUCUGUCAGGCCAAAAUCAGGAAAACUCGUCUCUUACUCAUUUUUUUAACUUAAUUUAAUAAAAGUUCAAAAAAAAAAUUAACACAAAAAGUCUCCCUGUUAACAGAGUAAUAAUGUACCGUGAAAUAAACUAAAACAAAUCUCCUCCCAAAGCUACGGUGGCCCAGAAGGGCAAUGGAACAAUUAUUUCAAUCCUGCAGAAACUUUUACCAGGAAACAAAAAACAUUUGAGAAAACCAAAAAAGUACAAAAAAUAAAAAAGAUUUUGGAAAAUGGAGAAAAUUAUUUAGAAGAAAGGAAAAGGGAUGAAUUUUUUAAAAAUGAUUAUUUUGACAAUUUAAAUUAAUUUAGAAACAGAAAGAUUUUUUUAAUACGAUUACAUUUUUGAAAAUAUUAAUUUUUAAGAAAAUGAAAAAAAAAAUUCCAGAAACAUCAUACAUUUUUUAAACAAAAUCAUUUCUUUAAUUUAUUCCUCAAUUAUUUCUCAGUCCCAGAAAAUAUUUUUGGAUUUUCAAAAAUUUUCUAUUCACUUCUUUUUUAUUCAAGGAUUAUCAUUUUCCAAAAUCUUUGACUUUAUUUUAAACAUAUUUAAAUGCAGUGAUUGUUUUUAUGCUUUUAUGUGAAACGUUUUUGGUGUUCUGGAAAAUGUUUUUGUCAUCCGUUGACCUUCAGGGCCACCGUAGAAUCCCAUCAGAGUGGAGGGGUUCUUCCUGGUUGGGGUCUUCUGUGUUUUAAAGGUUUUUGGAUGAAUCAGGGAGGGGUCUGAGAGGCUGAUGCAGGAUUUUAGACAUUUAAAGCUUUUUUGUACCUCGAAGGUUAAAGGAAAUUCAGAUGUUUGAAACCUGGACUGAAGUUUUUCUCCUUUUCUCUAAACGACUCAAAGGUCAGAAAAGUUAAAGAUCUUCAGGUGGCAGCAGCGAAACUGGAAAUCUGCUUCGGUUUCAUCUUUGAGGUCUUCGCUCAGAGUCGAGGAAAAAUGCAGAUGUCAGGAUGCUUUUUCGGAUCCUUGAUUUAAUGAUUAAAACCUAAAUACUAACCUAAUACAGAGUUGGAUCAGAACCGUUUCAAACAAGAACAAAGUGGCUGCAGUAGACCAGAAACCCCCACGUCCUGAAAAGACCAGGUGGAGGUCUGUCUCCUGCAGCGGUUUGUUUCAUUGCUGCCAGCCGAGGCGGUCCACUGAAGAAACUCUUAAACUUUUCGAACCAUUUCCUCAUAAAAAACAGCGUCCAGGUUAAACAUGAAAACACCAGAAUGUCCCUUUAAUACUGAAAUAAGAAAAGAAACCUGCGCCCGGAGGUUUCCCUCUGAGUUCCCACCGGUUUCAAAAGACUGAUCCGGUGGUUUUGGUCACAGUUCUCGCUCUGUUCGUCCUCUGACGACGGGUGAAUGUGGCGACUGAACUCCUCCAUCCAAUCAGAGAAGAGGAAUCUGACGAUGGAACAAGUGCACUUUAACAGCCGGGAACCCGGGGCCCUUCAGCGCAGCAGGAAGCUGACGUCUGCUGCAGGUUACAUGCAAGCUAUUUAAGAUAACGUGCAAGAAGAGUCACUUGACCUUUCCUCCAAACUUUUGCGAAGCGGUGGUCCGAGAGUGUAUUUACAACAAAACAGCUCCGUCUGUGAACUCAGGUGGAGAGGAAACAGAUAAUACUGGGUGUUUGUAUCGUCUCAGGUCCAGAACUCCUGCAGGUUCACAUUUUUUUUACAGCGCUGCACGUCCCGUCUGCUCUCUCUCUCUGCAAACAUGAGUGUGAAUAAGUGAAUAAGGCCUGAUAACGUCUCUGAAAGUCCCGGAAGGUCGUCGCGCUCUCCUCGCAGUAUUUACAAAAGACUCCCUCCUCUCCACACACACACCGAGGCCACAUGAACGGAGCGUUUCCAACAAUCAGACUUGUUCAGGGGUGACCUCUCCUCAGCUCCACGUCUGCAGAUUAACAGCAACUCCUAAAAUCCGAACUAAAUUUAACAGAUUGUCAAUUUAAACGCUGAAAUUUUCACUUUUGGCACCUUGUCGAGAGGAACAAACGUGUGUUUACCGGAUUCAUCCACCCUUCGUAACAAAUCAGCAUUAAAAAAAAACAUGCUACACUGGAUUUACAGGCUGUAGAGUCCUCCUCGGUGAACUUCAAAUCAACUCAAAACGCUCACACACCGUCCACAAAUCUUACACCGUUUUUUGUUUUCUUACAGUUUUUGGUUUUUAUGCUCCAGAACCAGAACCAGAACGACUCUCAUGACCCACGAAUAUUUCACAGCAAACCAUCAAACACCGAGCGGAGGAUCUCUGUCAGAUCCAACAGAACCGUGUCGAGUCAAAAACAGACGCACAGUUACAUUCAGAAGUUUCCAGAGUGAAGAAAGAACCAAGAGGGUGAAAGGAUGUCCUCCAGUUAACGAGGAGGAGUUAGGAUGAUGGA